CUAGUUGGUGGGGUAAUGGCUCACCAAGGCGACGAUGCGUAGCCGACCUGAGAGGGUGAUCGGCCACACUGGGACUGAGACACGGCCCAGACUCCUACGGGAGGCAGCAGUAGGGAAUCUUCCGCAAUGGACGAAAGUCUGACGGAGCAACGCCGCGUGAGUGAUGAAGGUUUUCGGAUCGUAAAGCUCUGUUGUUAGGGAAGAACAAGUGCGAGAGUAACUGCUCGCACCUUGACGGUACCUAACCAGAAAGCCACGGCUAACUACGUGCCAGCAGCCGCGGUAAUACGUAGGUGGCAAGCGUUGUCCGGAAUUAUUGGGCGUAAAGGGCUCGCAGGCGGUUUCUUAAGUCUGAUGUGAAAGCCCCCGGCUCAACCGGGGAGGGUCAUUGGAAACUGGGAAACUUGAGUGCAGAAGAGGAGAGUGGAAUUCCACGUGUAGCGGUGAAAUGCGUAGAGAUGUGGAGGAACACCAGUGGCGAAGGCGACUCUCUGGUCUGUAACUGACGCUGAGGAGCGAAAGCGUGGGGAGCGAACAGGAUUAGAUACCCUGGUAGUCCACGCCGUAAACGAUGAGUGCUAAGUGUUAGGGGGUUUCCGCCCCUUAGUGCUGCAGCUAACGCAUUAAGCACUCCGCCUGGGGAGUACGGUCGCAAGACUGAAACUCAAAGGAAUUGACGGGGGCCCGCACAAGCGGUGGAGCAUGUGGUU
rnacentral:rRNA from 1 species